rnacentral:rRNA from 1 species
AGUGAACGCCGGCGGUAGGCCUAACACAUGCAAGUCGAACGGCAGCACAGAGGAGCUUGCUCCUUGGGUGGCGAGUGGCGGACGGGUGAGGAAUACAUCGGAAUCUACUCUGUCGUGGGGGAUAACGUAGGGAAACUUACGCUAAUACCGCAUACGACCUACGGGUGAAAGCAGGGGACCUUCGGGCCUCGCGCGAUUGAAUGAGCCGAUGUCGGAUUAGCUAGGUGGCGGGGUAAAGGCCCACCAAGGCGACGAUCCGUAGCUGGUCUGAGAGGAUGAUCAGCCACACUGGAACUGAGACACGGUCCAGACUCCUACGGGAGGCAGCAGUGGGGAAUAUUGGACAAUGGGCGCAAGCCUGAUCCAGCCAUACCGCGUGGGUGAAGAAGGCCUUCGGGUUGUAAAGCCCUUUUGUUGGGAAAGAAAUCCAGCUGGCUAAUACCCGGUUGGGAUGACGGUACCCAAAGAAUAAGCACCAGCUAACUUCGUGCCAGCCGCCGCGGUAA